rnacentral:rRNA from 1 species
ACGGAAGGCAGCAGUGGGGGAUAUUGCACAAUGGGGGAAACCCUGAUGCAGCGACGCCGCGUGAGUGAUGAAGUAUUUCGGUAUGUAAAGCUCUAUCAGCAGGGGAGAAAAUGACGGUACCUGAAUAAGAAGCACCGGCUAACUACGUGCCAGCAGCCGCGGUAAUACGUAUGGGGCACGCGUUAUCCGGAUUUACUGGGUGUAAAGGGAGCGCAGACGGCAUGGCAAGCCAGAUGUGAAAUGCGGGGGCUCAACCCCUGAACUGCAUUUGGAACUGUCAAGCUAGAGUAUCGGAGAGGUAAGUGGAAUUCCUAGUGUAGCGGUGAAAUGCGUAGAUAUUAGGAGGAACACCAGUGGCGAAGGCGGCUUACUGGACGAUAACUGACGUUGAGGCCCGAAAGCGUGGGGAGCAAACAGGAUUAGAUACCCUGGUA